AGCGAACGCUGGCGGCAGGCCUAACACAUGCAAGUCGAACGGGCCCUUCGGGGUUAGUGGCGGACGGGUGAGUAACACGUGGGAAUGUGCCUUUUGGUUCGGAACAACUCAGGGAAACUUGAGCUAAUACCGAAUGUGCCCUUCGGGGGAAAGAUUUAUCGCCAUUAGAGCGGCCCGCGUCUGAUUAGCUUGUUGGUGAGGUAAUGGCUCACCAAGGCGACGAUCAGUAGCUGGUCUGAGAGGAUGAUCAGCCACAUUGGGACUGAGACACGGCCCAAACUCCUACGGGAGGCAGCAGUGGGGAAUCUUGCGCAAUGGGCGAAAGCCUGACGCAGCCAUGCCGCGUGAGUGAUGAAGGCCUUAGGGUUGUAAGCUCUUUCACCGAUGAAGAUAAUGACGGUAGUCGGAGAAGAAGCCCCGGCUAACUUCGUGCCAGCCGCCGCCGUAAAAC
rnacentral:rRNA from 1 species